UGAAUCCAAUCUUUCUUUGUAAAAGUCAUAAAGUUUAUCAAACUGAUUUCAAAGUGAAGGAUUCAUUAGUUUGAAUAAACAUUGAACCAAACACUAUAAUAACAUCUUAGUUGAUCAUUCAAGAUACUUUAUUUUUGACAAAACAUCCAUGUUUCGGUCGUGACAGUAAUGUGUUGGUAGUGACUCACAUACUAAAACAUAUUAAAAUACUAAUGAUUUGCAUAACUGUACUAAAAUUUUGUUUAUUUCCCCCAAAUAAACUAUUAUGUGUACUUUUGUCACUACCGAAACAAUGACGUCACUACCGAAACUUCACCACGUUUCGGUAGUGAGUGUUUCGGUAAUGACAAUUUUAGAUAGCUAGCACAGUUCUGAGCAGUUGGAAUAUAAAAUAACACCCAAAAAACAAUGAUUUCACUACUGAAACAGUCAUGACCGAAACAUGGCGAUGUUUUGGUAGUGACAAUUUUAUUUACUUUUGAGCCGCUCAAAGAUGCUAAUCAGCACAUGGUUCGCUAGCACAGUUCUGAACAGUUGUACACAUAUAAAAACUACAUUUUAUGGAAUAACACCCAAAAAACAAUGAUUUCACUACUGAAACAGUCAUGACCGAAACAUGGCGAUGUUUUGGUAGUGACAAUUUUAUUUGCUUUUGAGCCGCUCAAAGAUGCUAAUCAGCACAUGGUUCGCUAGCACAGUUCUGAACAGUUGUACACAUAUAAAAACUACAUUUUAUGGAAUAACACCCAAAAAAGUUUGCUUAAUUGCAGAAAAAGGUGUUUGUUAGUGACGUUCCUUAAAGUUCCACACAGAUUUUCAGACGUUUGAACACAUUUAGCUCAGAAUGAUGGACCUAUCUACUGUGAAAGAGGCGAUGAGAGGGAGGAACACAGGAAUAUUUCCUGAUCAGAAAUGUAGAAGUGUGUUAAAAUCAGUCUCAGACAAUGAAAAACACACACUGUUUCGGUAGUGACAUGAACAUGAGGGACACAUUUUUUUACAUAAAGUUUCAUGAUUUAAAGAUAAAAUAUGAAAUAAAUAUAUUUUUUAACUUCACUUUAAAAAAAAACAAAACUAAUAUAUAUUUUUAAAAACAAUAAUGGAAAAAAUUGCAAAAAUUAUUAUUAUUUUCACAAGUUGAAAUGUAGGGGUUAGGGUUCGGGACAGCCAAUUGAAAGUACCCAGUAAAUGAUGAUUUUAUAUAUAUUAAUCUUACUGAUAUUUUAAAUAUUAUUGUGGGAUUCAAUAGAUAAUAGAAGGAUCUUAGUAAACAUCUUAAAUUUGAAGACUUAAAUUUAACUUGUACACAAACAAUAGAACCUUAAUCUGAAUUCUAAACUCAAUAGGAAGCCAAUGUAACCUCAUCAAAACAGGAGUGAUACUUUCCCUCUUUCUAGUCCCUGUUAAAGUCGGGCCGCAGCAUUUUGGACCAGCUGAAGAGCCGGGUCAAAAAUGACACCCAGAUUCCCAACAGAGUUAGUCACAGGAGUAAGGGAUUCAAUCCAGCAGUGACUGAAGAGAUAUGCUGUCAUCAAGAGGCGAGUGAAGGAGGCGUCCAGAUUCCUCAGGCAAUGAUGAUGACCACCGGUCAACCAAUAGAGCCCCAAUCAACAAUCAACAUGUGAUUUAAUGAGAAAAAAUCAUUCAUUUAAUCAGCAUACAGAGAGCAGUGAAACAUUUUACUGUUAGACAAUAUAUAUGUGCAUCAUAUUACACACUAGUCACAAAUAACAGAGCAAAUAUCGGUCAGCGUGUUCAAAACCUCAUACUAUUAUUCAUUUGAGUAAAUUAUUAAUACAAAUCAUGAAUGAUGUACAUUGUUAGCUUAUCAAGAAAAAUAUAUAAUAAUAUAAAGGUAAUAAACAAGUCAAGUCAAGUCACCUUUAUUUAUAUAGUGCUUUUUACAAUGUAGAUUGUG